GACGAACGCUGGCGGCGUGCUUAACACAUGCAAGUCGAACGGAAAGGCCCUGCUUUUGUGGGGUGCUCGAGUGGCGAACGGGUGAGUAACACGUGAGUAACCUGCCCUUGACUUUGGGAUAACUUCAGGAAACUGGGGCUAAUACCGGAUAGGAGCUCCUGCUGCAUGGUGGGGGUUGGAAAGUUUCGGCGGUUGGGGAUGGACUCGCGGCUUAUCAGCUUGUUGGUGGGGUAGUGGCUUACCAAGGCUUUGACGGGUAGCCGGCCUGAGAGGGUGACCGGCCACAUUGGGACUGAGAUACGGCCCAGACUCCUACGGGAGGCAGCAGUGGGGAAUAUUGCACAAUGGGCGGAAGCCUGAUGCAGCAACGCCGCGUGCGGGAUGACGGCCUUCGGGUUGUAAACCGCUUUCGCCUGUGACGAAGCGUGAGUGACGGUAAUGGGUAAAGAAGCGCCGGUUAACUACGUG
rnacentral:rRNA from 1 species